CCUACGGGGGGCUGCAGUGGGGAAUAUUGGGCAAUGGGCGCAAGCCUGACCCAGCAACGCCGCGUGAAGGAAGAAGGCUUUCGGGUUGUAAACUUCUUUUCUCAGGGACGAAGCAAGGUACGGUACCUGAGGAAUAAGCCACGGGUACCUACGUGCCAGCAGCCGCCGUAAUACGUAGGUGGCACUGGUUAUCCGGAUUUAUUGGGUUAAAGGGGUGCGUAGGCGGGCUGUUAAGUCAGCGGUCAAAUGGCGGGGCUCAACCCCGGCCUGCCGUUGAAACUGGCAGACUCGAGUGGGCGAGAGGUAUGCGGAAUGCGUGGUGUAGCGGUGAAAUGCAUAGAUAUCACGAAGAACUCCGAUUGCGAAGGCAGCAUACCGGCGCCCGACUGACGCUGAGGUACGAAAGCGUGGGUAUCGAACAGGAUUAGAUACCCGAGUAGUC
rnacentral:rRNA from 1 species